UGAAUACGAGACGCUAAGGCGUCGAAGUAGUGUAUGUCAUACUUCCAAGAAAAGCUUGCACUGUCAUAGAUAAAAAACGCCUGUACCAUAACCGACACAGGUGGGUAGGUAGAGUAUACUAAGGGGCGCGAGAUAACUCUCUCUAAGGAACUCGGCAAAAUAACUCCGUAACUUCGGGAGAAGGAGUGCCUUAUUCGUAAGGUUGCAAUAACAAGAUCCAAGCAACUGUUUAUCAAAAACACAGGUCUCCGCUAAGUCGUAAGACGAUGUAUGGGGGCUGACGCCUGCCCAGUGCCAGAAGGUUAAAGAAGUUGGUUAGCAAUUGCGAAGCUGAUAACUGAAGCCCUGGUGAACGGCGGCCGUAACAAUAACGGUCCUAAGGUAGCGAAAUUCCUUGUCGGGUAAGUUCCGACCCGCACGAAAGGCGUAAUGAUUUGGAUACUGUCUCGGAGAGGGGCUCGGUGAAAUAGACUUGUCUGUGAAGAUGCGGACUACCUGCACCAGGACAGAAAGACCCUAUGAAGCUUUACUGUAACUUGAAAUUGAAAUUGGACUUUAUUCGCGCAGUAUAGGUGGGAGGCGUUGAUUAUAAUCUUGUGGGAUUAUUGGAGCCAUCAGUGAGAUACCACUCUUGUAAUGUUAGAUUUCUAACUUUGAAUCAUUAUCUGGUCAAAGAACGGUUUCAGGCGGGCAGUUUGACUGGGGCGGUCGCCUCCUAAACGGUAACGGAGGCGUACAAAGGUUUCCUCUGAACGGUUAGAAAUCGUAUCUAGAGUGUAAAGGCAUAAGGAAGCUUGACUGUGAGACCUACAAGUCGAGCAGGGACGAAAGUCGGUCUUAGUGAUCUGACGGUACUGAGUGGAAAGGCCGUCACUCAACGGAUAAAAGUUACUCUAAGGAUAACAGGCUGAUCUCCCCCAAGAGUUCACAUCGACGGGGAGGUUUGGCACCUCGAUGUCGGCUCAUCGCAUCCUGGGGCGGUAGUACGUCCCAAGGGUUGGGCUGUUCGCCCAUGAAAGCGGUACGCGAGCUGGGUUCAGAACGUCGUGAGACAGUUCGGUCCAUAUCCGGUGUAGGCGUUAGAAUAUUGAGAGGAGCCUUCUUUAGUACGAGAGGACCGAGAAGGACAUACCUCUGGUGUACCAGUUAUCGUGCCAACGGUAAACGCUGGGUAGCUAUGUAUGGAGUGGAUAACCGCUGAAAGCAUCUAAGUGGGAAGCCCACCUCAAGAUAAGUAUUCUCU
rnacentral:rRNA from 1 species